AUAGCGUAUAUUAAAGUUGUUGCAGUUAAAAAGCUCGUAGUUGAACCUUGGGCCUGGCUGGCCGGUCCGCCUCACCGCGUGCACUGGUCCGGCCGGGCCUUUCCUUCUGGGGAGCUGCAUGCCCUUCACUGGGUGUGUCGGGGAACCAGGACUUUUACUUUGAAAAAAUUAGAGUGUUCAAAGCAGGCCUAUGCCCGAAUACAUUAGCAUGGAAUAAUAGAAUAGGACGUGUGGUUCUAUUUUGUUGGUUUCUAGAACCGCCGUAAUGAUUAAUAGGGAUAGUCGGGGGCAUCAGUAUUCAAUUGUCAGAGGUGAAAUUCUUGGAUUUAUUGAAGACUAACUACUG
rnacentral:rRNA from 1 species